CCUACGGGUGGCAGCAGUGAGGAAUAUUGGUCAAUGGACGAGAGUCUGAACCAGCCAAGUAGCGUGAAGGAUGACUGCCCUAUGGGUUGUAAACUUCUUUUAUAUGGGAAUAAAAUGUUCCACGUGUGGGAUUUUGUAUGUACCAUAUGAAUAAGGAUCGGCUAACUCCGUGCCAGCAGCCGCGGUAAUACGGAGGAUCCGAGCGUUCUCCGGAUUUAUUGGGUUUAAAGGGAGCGUAGGUGGAUUGUUAAGUCAGUUGUGAAAGUUUGCGGCUCAACCGUAAAAUUGCAGUUGAAACUGGCAGUCUUGAGUACAGUAGAGGUGGGCGGAAUUCGUGGUGUAGCGGUGAAAUGCUUAGAUAUCACGAAGAACUCCGAUUGCGAAGGCAGUUCACUGGACUGCAACUGACACUGAGGCUCGAAAGUGUGGGUAUCAAACAGGAGUAGAUACCCCUGUAGUC
rnacentral:rRNA from 1 species